UACGUAGGGUGCGAGCGUUGUCCGGAAUUAUUGGGCGUAAAGAGCUUGUAGGCGGUUUGUCGCGUCUGCUGUGAAAUCUCAAGGCUCAACCUUGAGCUUGCAGUGGGUACGGGCAGACUAGAGUGUGGUAGGGGAGACUGGAAUUCCUGGUGUAGCGGUGAAAUGCGCAGAUAUCAGGAGGAACACCAAUUGCGAAGGCAGCUCGCUGGGACGUUACUGACGCUGAUGCGCGAAAGCG
rnacentral:rRNA from 1 species